UUGCUUCAUGUACUAAAAUUGGACCAGGAACAGUGCAGGAAGAUUAGCAUGGCCCUCGAGCAAGGAUGACCCUCAAAUUCGUGAAGUGUCCCAUAAAAUA
rnacentral:snRNA from 1 species